UCCUACGGGGGGCAGCAGUGGGGAAUAUUGCACAAUGGGCGAAAGCCUGAUGCAGCAACGCCGCGUGAAGGAAGAAGGGUUUCGGCUCGUAAACUUCUAUCACCAGGGACGAAAGAAAUGACGGUACCUGGAUAAGAAGCCCCGGCUAACUACGUGCCAGCAGCCGCGGUAAUACGUAGGGGGCAAGCGUUAUCCGGAAUUACUGGGUGUAAAGGUGGAGUAGGCGGCAUGGUAAGCCAGAUUUGAAAGCCUUG
rnacentral:rRNA from 1 species